ACGCCUGCCCAGUGAGGUAAAGACCUUAAACGGCCGCGUCUAAAACCGUGCAAAGGUAGCAAAAUCAUUUGUCCUCUAAAUAAGGACCCGCAUGAAUGGCAACAUGAGAAAGAACCUGUCUCUUUAGGCUAGUCAAUGAAACUGAUUUGCCUGUACAAAAGCAGGCAUGCAAAAACAAGACAAAAAGACCCUGUGAAACUUAAAAUAUCCUUCAACCAAAUGAUCAAGAUAUUUUCGGUUGGGGCAACCAAAGAGAAAUAAACCUCAUCAGACACUACAAGGCGAACAGGCCAAGUAGAACCUGUCAGAUCCAGUAUUACUGAUUAAAGAACAAAGCUACUCCAGGGAUAACAGCGCCACAUUCUUGAAGAGUUCUUAUCGACAAGAAUACCUACGACCUCGAUGUUGGAUCAGGGUAUCCUGAUGGCGCAAAA
rnacentral:rRNA from 1 species